CUCGACUUUUAAUGAAACCCUAACGAUUAUUUGCUUUUGUCCUUUCCCUUCUACAUUCGUUUUGCACCGCUUUCGAUUCUCCCGCGUGGUUUAGAGCAGAAGUGCUCUCUUCCACUGCAUCAUAAGCUCUUUAAUGGAUCUGCUGCAGGUUUCUUGUUGAUGAUUCUGUGCUCAAUUGCUCAUCCGUUCCUCCUGACUCUGUUUCCGUGCCAAUUGAAACCAUAAACAGAAGUUUGGGUGUUAUGGCCCUGCCAAUACUGCCCUGGUUCCCCCCUUGGGUAUCAAUCAGAUUCCAGGUCCCACGCAACCCAGGACCUCAGACGCAUGAAGAAUGAGAGGCUGUCAGGUCUUUAUUGGGUGUUAAAUUGUUAACCUCCUACUCAACCUGAGAUAUGAACUCUGAUUCUAUUAUACGGAAUGAAGAUAGUGAUAUUUGUGUUUGUCGAACAACUUUCAUCUCUCACAUAAAAGAAGCUGAAGGGGACUAGUGCCUCUUUUCUCUGAUUAUGCUCUAUAUGUGCCAGAAAAAUGGGAAAGAUGACUUUGAGUCUAAAUGUCAAGAUAUGAAUAUGUCUCUUGCCAUGACCUGGUGGGGAUUUGCUGCCGACGAAAAAAGGUAUUUUCAACUGAACAUCAAUAAUGCUUCUUAAAGUGGUCAUUCUAAAAAGCUUCAUUACGACU